rnacentral:lncRNA from 13 species
GCAGUGACUGCCAGGAUGAUUCACCAAACAAGGAAUCUGCUCCACAUUCAGCUGUCCAGAUCAUCUCAGCAAGGGGCAACACACAAUUUGAGGAGACGGGUAAAUGUUGACCCUUCUUUCUAGCGACUCUUCAAAAUAUGUGAAGACUUAUUAUUUAAUCAUGAAUGACGCUGAACUCAGAUGGCUUUGUUAUGCACUGUUACGGAAUGAAUUGUUGAAGACCUAAUACCCAAUGGGACCAUACUUGGAGAUAAAGCCUUAAUGGGAAAAAUUUCGAUUACUUUUGCACCAACUUGAUAUUUAAGUUAAAGGAGGCCAAAAGGGUGGGGCCUUAAUUCUGAAACUGAUAAAAUUGGUGUUCUUAAAAGAAGAGGAAAAGAUACCAGAGAUCUCUGGAAUUCUUACGAGGUAAGAAAGAGACACCAGGGAUCUCUCUUUCUGUGAGUAGAGAAGAGGCCAUGUGAGGACUCAGUGAGGAGGCAGCUGUCUGCAAGAAAAAGAGUGUUCAUUGAAAAGCCACCUUGCUGGUCCCUUGAUUUUGAACUGUAUCCUCCAGACACAGAAAAUAAAUGUCUGUUGUUUAAGCCA